rnacentral:tRNA from 6 species
GGGGUUAUAGCUCAGUUGGUUAGAGCGCAUCGCUCACAUCGAUGAGGUCUACGGUUCGAACCCGCAUAACCCCACCA